rnacentral:rRNA from 1 species
AAAUUGAAGAGUUUGAUCAUGGCUCAGAUUGAACGCUGGCGGCAGGCCUAACACAUGCAAGUCGAACGGUAACAGGAAGAAGCUUGCUUCUUUGCUGACGAGUGGCGGACGGGUGAGUAAUGUCUGGGAAACUGCCUGAUGGAGGGGGAUAACUACUGGAAACGGUAGCUAAUACCGCAUAACGUCGCAAGACCAAAGAGGGGGACCUUCGGGCCUCUUGCCAUCGGAUGUGCCCAGAUGGGAUUAGCUAGUAGGUGGGGUAACGGCUCACCUAGGCGACGAUCCCUAGCUGGUCUGAGAGGAUGACCAGCCACACUGGAACUGAGACACGGUCCAGACUCCUACGGGAGGCAGCAGUGGGGAAUAUUGCACAAUGGGCGCAAGCCUGAUGCAGCCAUGCCGCGUGUAUGAAGAAGGCCUUCGGGUUGUAAAGUACUUUCAGCGGGGAGGAAGGGAGUAAAGUUAAUACCUUUGCUCAUUGACGUUACCCGCAGAAGAAGCACCGGCUAACUCCGUGCCAGCAGCCGCGGUAAUACGGAGGGUGCAAGCGUUAAUCGGAAUUACUGGGCGUAAAGCGCACGCAGGCGGUUUGUUAAGUCAGAUGUGAAAUCCCCGGGCUCAACCUGGGAACUGCAUCUGAUACUGGCAAGCUUGAGUCUCGUAGAGGGGGGUAGAAUUCCAGGUGUAGCGGUGAAAUGCGUAGAGAUCUGGAGGAAUACCGGUGGCGAAGGCGGCCCCCUGGACGAAGACUGACGCUCAGGUGCGAAAGCGUGGGGAGCAAACAGGAUUAGAUACCCUGGUAGUCCACGCCGUAAACGAUGUCGACUUGGAGGUUGUGCCCUUGAGGCGUGGCUUCCGGAGCUAACGCGUUAAGUCGACCGCCUGGGGAGUACGGCCGCAAGGUUAAAACUCAAAUGAAUUGACGGGGGCCCGCACAAGCGGUGGAGCAUGUGGUUUAAUUCGAUGCAACGCGAAGAACCUUACCUGGUCUUGACAUCCACGGAAGUUUUCAGAGAUGAGAAUGUGCCUUCGGGAACCGUGAGACAGGUGCUGCAUGGCUGUCGUCAGCUCGUGUUGUGAAAUGUUGGGUUAAGUCCCGCAACGAGCGCAACCCUUAUCCUUUGUUGCCAGCGGUCCGGCCGGGAACUCAAAGGAGACUGCCAGUGAUAAACUGGAGGAAGGUGGGGAUGACGUCAAGUCAUCAUGGCCCUUACGACCAGGGCUACACACGUGCUACAAUGGCGCAUACAAAGAGAAGCGACCUCGCGAGAGCAAGCGGACCUCAUAAAGUGCGUCGUAGUCCGGAUUGGAGUCUGCAACUCGACUCCAUGAAGUCGGAAUCGCUAGUAAUCGUGGAUCAGAAUGCCACGGUGAAUACGUUCCCCGGGCCUUGUACACACCGCCCGUCACACCAUGGGAGUGGGUUGCAAAAGAAGUAGGUAGCUUAACCUUCGGGAGGGCGCUUACCACUUUGUGAUUCAUGACUGGGGUGAAGUCGUAACAAGGUAACCGUAGGGGAACCUGCGGUUGGAUCACCUCCUUACCUUAAAGAAGC